UUCUCUCGUUCUAACAACUCUCUCUCUCUCUCAUCUAUCUUUUUUUCAACUCUCUUUAAGUAUCUUUUUGUUAUUUAAUUUUAGUAUAUUGCUUUUAUUUUUGAAUACAUUACCAGCAUAAAACUUUUUUCAAAUAUAUUUUUCACUAUCAGUUUUACAUUCAUUUUCUCUUCCUUCUUGUUACUAAAAUUUUAAUUUCUUAUUUCAGAGUAAAAUAUUGUUAUGGUGUGCCUCGAUUUAUUUUUACGAGCAAAUUUACCUUAAUAAAGGAACGACAUUAUCUGAUAGUUAAAGUUCCAUGUUCUUUUGUACAUUAAGCCUUGAUUCUUAUUUAAAGGGCAUGCACUAGUUUUAGUAAUAAUGUUAUAUUUUUUAACUAAAUUAUUAUAUGAUAUUAUUUUAACUAUAUAUUUGUGUGUACUCCUGUCCAGUACUACAUAUAUAAUCUAAAAUAAUAUAAAUUUCAUUGACAAUCGAAUCAACAGCUACAUGAAAAAAUAUAAUAUUUAUGUAGGCCAGUUAAUGGGGUCAGGCCGGGUCAACCCAAAAUUGGCCCAUCACAUUUAAAUGGGUUGUGGGCUGGUUCGAUUCUAAGCCUGAUUUAACGGGUCAGUCCGGUUCGGGUCCAAUUGUAAAUUUUCAAGAAACAACCCGGGACUGGCUUAUUAGCCCUAACAUGGGUCGAACCCACCUAAACCUAAUCAUAAUCGGUUCAAAAUUUGGCCAAAAUUGGUCAAAACAAAAAAAAAAUAAAAGUUCUUUCUCCAAUAUACACUAUAUAUACCCACAUAUAUACAUUUUAAAUACGUUAAACAAUAUUUAUACACUAUAUAUAUAUAUAGUAUAUAUUACAUUAGAAUUUAAAAAACAUAUACACAUAUACACAAUUACACAUUAAUCAUGUAUACGAUUAUACGUUAGUUAAAUAUAUAUACUACUUUAAAUAAAACAUAUAGUACAA
rnacentral:lncRNA from 1 species